rnacentral:rRNA from 1 species
UACGUAGGCAGCGAGCGUUGUUCGGAGUUACUGGGCGUAAAGGGUGUGUAGGCGGUUGUUUAAGUUUGGUGUGAAAUCUCCCGGCUCAACUGGGGAGGGUCACGCGAUACUGGUCGACUCGAAGGCAGGAGAGGGUAGUGGAAUUCCCGGUGUAGUGGUGAAAUGCGUAGAUAUCGGGAGGAACACCAGUGGCGAAGGCGACUACCUGGCCUGUUCUUGACGCUGAGGCGCGAAAGCUAGGGGAGCAAACGGG